rnacentral:sRNA from 1 species
UCAACUGAUUCCUGUACGAGAGUUAACU